rnacentral:rRNA from 1 species
CUACGGGUCGCUCCAGUGGGGAAUAUUGGGCAAUGGGCGAAAGCCUGACCCAGCAACGCCGCGUGAAGGAAGAAGGUUUUCGGAUCGUAAACUUCUAUCCCAGGUGAAGAUAAUGACGGUAGCCUGGAAGGAAGCCCCGGCUAACUACGUGCCAGCAGCCGCGGUAAUACGUAGGGGGCAAGCGUUGUCCGGAAUGAUUGGGCGUAAAGGGCGCGUAGACGGCCUUCUAAGUCCGAUGUGAAAGUCCUGCUUUUAAGGUGGGAAUUGCAUUGGAAACUGGAGGGCUUGAGUGCAGGAGAGGUAAGUGGAAUUCCCGGUGUAGCGGUGAAAUGCGUAGAGAUCGGGAGGAACACCAGUGGCGAAGGCGACUUACUGGACUGUAACUGACGCUGAGGCGCGAAAGUGUGGGGAGCAAACAGGAUUAGAUACCCCGGUAGUC